ACGGGUGAGUAACGCGUGGGAACGUACCCUUUACUACGGAAUAACGCAGGGAAACUUGUGCUAAUACCGUAUGUGCCCUUUGGGGGAAAGAUUUAUCGGUAAAGGAUCGGCCCGCGUUGGAUUAGCUAGUUGGUGGGGUAAAGGCCUACCAAGGCGACGAUCCAUAGCUGGUCUGAGAGGAAGAUCAGCCACAUUGGGACUGAGACACGGCCCAAACUCCUACGGGAGGCAGCAGUGGGGAAUAUUGGACAAUGGGCGCAAGCCUGAUCCAGCCAUGCCGCGUGAGUGAUGAAGGCCCUAGGGUUGUAAAGCUCUUUCACCGGAGAAGAUAAUGACGGUAUCCGGAGAAGAAGCCCCGGCUAACUUCGUGCCAGCAGCCGCGGUAAUACGAAGGGGGCUAGCGUUGUUCGGAAUUACUGGGCGUAAAGCGCACGUAGGCGGAUCGAUCAGUCAGGGGUGAAAUCCCAGGGCUCAACCCUGGAACUGCCUUUGAUACUGUCGAUCUGGAGUUUGGAAGAGGUGAGUGGAAUUCCGAGUGUAGAGGUGAAAUUCGUAGA
rnacentral:rRNA from 1 species